CCUCACUGAGACCUGGAUCACACCAGGCGACACUGCAACCCCUGCAGCCCUCUCCUCCUCCUUCUCCUUCUCUCACGCCCCCCGCCCGUCUGGCUGUGGUGGGGGCACAGGUUUGCUCAUCUCUCCCUCUUGGAAAUUCUCUUCUCCCCCUCUCUCACCUCUCCAUCUCUACCUUUGAAUACCACUCUGUCUCAAUCACCUAUCCUGUUAACUUGUAUAUUGUGGUUAUCUAUCGCCCUUCAGGGCCCCUGGGAAGCUUCCUCCAUGAGCUCGACACCCUGCUCAGCUCCUUCCCAGAGGAUGGCACCCCACUGAUCCUGUUGUAGUCUGUAUUGAUCCUCCUGGGAGACUUCCACAUCCACCUUGAUGCCUCCCACUCCGCAGCCUUCCUGCCCCUACUCUACUCAUUCCAUCUCUCCCUGAUGCACUCCCCACCAACACACAAAGCUGGCAACCUCCUAGACUGGGUCAUCCUGAGGAAUUGCUCCUCCGAUCCCACGUUGACCCCUCUGCAUCAGUCCGACCACCACUUCGUUUCCUUCUCGACAUAGCUCAGGAGAUGUACUUGAAACCUCAAGAGGGAGAUCGAAGACAUCCUGAUCCGGUACCACGGGACCUUGUUGGUGGGCGACUCCCGCCGCUGCCGGUCCGACGAGUUUGCUGGACCCGGAGCCCGCCCUCGCUACCAGAUGUCUUACUGCUAAAAAUGCUGUCUUCGCUUUUAUAUACAAUAAAAAAG